UACGAAGGGGGCUAGCGUUGUUCGGAAUCACUGGGCGUAAAGGGCGCGUAGGCGGCUUUGUAAGUCGGGGGUGAAAGCCUGUGGCUCAACCACAGAAUUGCCCUUCGAUACUGCAUGGCUUGAGACCGGAAGAGGUUAGUGGAACUGCGAGUGUAGAGGUGAAAUUCGUAGAUAUUCGCAAGAACACCAGUGGCGAAGGCGGCUGACUGGUCCGGUUCUGACGCUGAGGCGCGAAAGCGUGGGGAGCAAACAGG
rnacentral:rRNA from 1 species